ACCAUAAACUUUGCCGACUUCGGAUCGGAUGAUGUUAAUCCUUUAAUGACGCAUUCGGCACCUUACGGGAGACCAAAGUUGUUGGGUUCCCGGGGGAGUCUGGUCGCAAGUCUGAAACCUAAAGGAAUUUACGGAAGGGCACCACCAGGGUUGGAGCCUGGGGAUUAAUUCGACUCAACACGGGGAAACUAACCAGGUCCGGACAUAGUACGGAUUGACAAAUUGAGAGCUCUUUCUUGAAUCUAUGGGUUGUGGUGCAUAGCCGUUCUUGGUUGGUGGAGUGAUUUGUCGGGUUAAUUCCGUUAACGAACGAGACCUUAGCCUGCUAAAUAGCUAGGCUUAACUUUGUUGGGUCGUCAGAUUUUUAGAGGGACUAUCGGUUUUUAACCGAUGGAAGUUUGAGGCAAUAAAAGGUCUGUGCUGCCCUUAGCUGUUCUGGGUCGCACGCGCGCUACACUGAGGAAGUCAACAAGUUCAUUUACUUUAUCGGAAGAUAU
rnacentral:rRNA from 1 species